rnacentral:misc_RNA from 1 species
GAUGAAGAACGUAGCGAAAUGCGAUAAGUAAUGUGAAUUGCAGAAUUCAGUGAAUCAUCGAAUCUUUGAACGCACAUUGCGCCCGCCAGUAUUCUGGCGGGCAUGCCUGUCCGAGCGUCAUUUCAACCCUCGGGAGCCCCUUUGCGGGGGCUGCCGGUGUUGGGGAUCGCCCGCCUCCCAAGGCGGUCGUCCCCUAAAGUGAUUGGCGGUCUCGCUGUAGCCCUCCUCCGCGUAGUAGCACAACCUCGCGGCCUGGAGCUCGGCGGUGGCCAUGCCGUAAAACACCCCACUUCUGAAAGUUGACCUCGGAUCAGGUAGGAAUACCCGCUGAACUUAAGCAUAUCAAUAAGCGGAGGA